rnacentral:rRNA from 1 species
CCUACGGGAGGCAGCAGUGGGGAAUAUUGCACAAUGGGCGCAAGCCUGAUGCAGCCAUGCCGCGUGUGUGAAGAAGGCCUUCGGGUUGUAAAGCACUUUCAGCGGGGAGGAAGGCGUUAAGGUUAAUAACCUUGUCGAUUGACGUUACCCGCAGAAGAAGCACCGGCUAACUCCGUGCCAGCAGCCGCGGUAAUACGGAGGGUGCAAGUGUUAAUCGGAAUUACUGGGCGUAAAGCGCACGCAGGCGGUCUGUCAAGUCGGAUGUGAAAUCCCCGGGCUCAACCUGGGAACUGCAUUCGAAACUUGCAGGCUAGAGUCUUGUAGAGGGGGGUAGAAUUCCAGGUGUAGCGGUGAAACGCGUAGAGAUCUGGAGGAAUACCGGUGGCGAAGGCGGCCCCCUGGACAAAGACUGACGCUCAGGUACGAAAGCGUGGGGAGCAAACAGGAUUAGAUACCCUUGUAGUC